AACGAACGCUGGCGGCAGGCUUAACACAUGCAAGUCGAGCGCCCCGCAAGGGGAGCGGCAGACGGGUGAGUAACGCGUGGGAAUCUACCCAUCUCUACGGAAUAACGCAUGGAAACGUGUGCUAAUACCGUAUACGUCCUUCGGGAGAAAGAUGUAUCGGAGAUGGAUGAGCCCGCGUUGGAAUAGCUAGUUGGUGGGGUAAAGGCCUACCAAGGCGACGAUCCAUAGCUGGUCUGAGAGGAUGAUCAGCCACACUGGGACUGAGACACGGCCCAGACUCCUACGGGAGGGAGCAGUGGGGAAUAUUGGACAAUGGGCGCAAGCCUGAUCAAGCCAUGCCGCGUGGGUGAUGAAGGCCCUAGGGUUGUAAAGCUCUUUCACCGGUGAAGAUAAUGACGGUAACCGGAGAAGAAGCCCCGGCUAACUUCGUGGCAGCCGCCGCUGUAAAAC
rnacentral:rRNA from 1 species